UGACCUGGGAAAUAAUCGAAGCCCAUAGAACAUCAAUACUGAAAGAGAAAUGAGUCACUGCACCAUCUACUUUG
rnacentral:lncRNA from 1 species